rnacentral:rRNA from 1 species
AGAGUUUGAUCAUGGCUCAGAGUGAACGCUCCGCCGAUUAACACAUGCAAGUCGCACGGGCAGGGGAAACCCUGUCAGUGGCGGACGGGUGAGUAACGCGUAGGUAUCUAUCCUCGGGUGGGGGGACAACCACGGGAAACUGUGGCUAAUACCGCAUGAUGACUGAGGUCCAAAGGCGCAAGUCGCCUGGGGAGGAGCCUGCGUCCGAUUAGCUUGUUGGUGGGGUAAAGGCCUACCAAGGCUCCGAUCGGUAGCUGGUCUGAGAGGAUGAUCAGCCACACUGGGACUGAGACACGGCCCAGACUCCUACGGGAGGCAGCAGUGGGGAAUAUUGGACAAUGGGCGAAAGCCUGAUCCAGCAGUGCCGCGUGGGUGAAGAAGGUCUUCGGAUUGUAAAGCCCUUUCGACGGGGACGAUGAUGACGGUACCCGUAGAAGAAGCCCCGGCUAACUUCGUGCCAGCAGCCGCGGUAAUACGAAGGGGGCUAGCGUUACUCGGAUUGACUGGGCGUAAAGGGCGCGUAGGCGGCUUGUACAGUCAGACGUGAAAUUCCUGGGCUCAACCUGGGGGCUGCGUUUGAUACGUGCGGGCUUGAGUUCGGAAGAGGGUCGUGGAAUUCCCAGUGUAGAGGUGAAAUUCGUAGAUAUUGGGAAGAACCCGGUGGCGAAGGCGGCGCCUGGUCCGAUCUGCGCUGAGGCGCGAAAGCGUGGGGAGCAAACAGGAUUAGAUACCCUAGUAGUCC